UCUAGAGUUUGAUCCUGGCUCAGGACGAACGCUGGCGGCGUGCUUAACACAUGCAAGUCGAGCGGUAAGGCCCUUUCGGGGGUACACGAGCGGCGAACGGGUGAGUAACACGUGGGUGACCUGCCUCUAGCUCUGGGAUAAGCCUGGGAAACUGGGUCUAAUACCGGAUAUGACCUCAUGACGCAUGUUGUGGGGUGGAAAGCCUUGUGCGGCUGGAGAUGGGCCCGCGGCCUAUCAGCUUGUUGGUGGGGUGAUGGCCUACCAAGGCGACGACGGGUAGCCGGCCUGAGAGGGCGACCGGCCACACUGGGACUGAGACACGGCCCAGACUCCUACGGGAGGCAGCAGUGGGGAAUCUUGCGCAAUGGGCGAAAGCCUGACGCAGCGACGCCGCGUGAGGGAUGACGGCCUUCGGGUUGUAAACCUCUUUCAGCUCCGACGAAGCGGAAGUGACGGUAGGAGCAGAAGAAGCACCGGCCAACUACGUGCCAGCAGCCGCGGUAAUACGUAGGGUGCAAGCGUUGUCCGGAAUUAUUGGGCGUAAAGAGCUCGUAGGCGGUCUGUCGCGUCGGCUGUGAAAACUUGGGGCUCAACUCCGAGCUUGCAGUCGAUACGGGCAGGCUAGAGUUCGGCAGGGGAGACUGGAAUUCCUGGUGUAGCGGUGAAAUGCGCAGAUAUCAGGAGGAACACCGGUGGCGAAGGCGGGUCUCUGGGCCGAUACUGACGCUGAGGAGCGAAAGCGUGGGGAGCGAACAGGAUUAGAUACCCUGGUAGUCCACGCCGUAAACGUUGGGCGCUAGGUGUGGGAU
rnacentral:rRNA from 1 species